GUAACAUUUUCCCUUUCCCCACUCUCUCGAUCAAUUCCUUUCUUUUCCCUCGGCGCAGACCUAAACCCCAGCGACUUCGUCUUUUCUUCAUUUUCUUGUUCCUCUUCACAACUAAAUACUACAUCAAAUUCCACCGUAAAGUGGACACGUUCAUGAAGACAAGUUUUGGCAUUCACGUGGAGGGCUUUUGGGACAAUUUUGGGAGUUAACGUUGGUGCUUCAAAGAAGGGGAGUAGGGUAUUCAUUAGAUCAGGAUGACACUAUUGAUUCCAUUGAGAUUCGACGGCGAGUGGAUCGUUCGGUGGUCGCAGGAUUGCUUGGAUUGCUGAAAGCAAUCGUGGUUAUUCUUCAUAGUUAUUUUCAGGAAACUGAGGAGCAUACUAUUGUCAGAUCAGGUCGUUCGGCUUAUUUCAUUUAUAGGCCUCAUUUGGAAGGUUGUCAUAGUUUUGUCUGUUGUUGGUCUUUGUCAUUCUGCAGCUAUAGGGGGAGUCUUUGUGGGAAUUCAGUUUGAUUUAUUAUUAUUCGUUUUAAUUUAAGAAUUAGCACUUUAGUACUGGAUUUGAAGUUUAUGUAUUCUUGGAAUUCUAGUUAUAUGAUAAAUCUGAAUUGAUAGAUUUUAUUAUUUUGGAGAUAUUGAUAUUACAGGAAAGAUUCCUUUCGAUUUAUAUAAAUUAUAGGAAAUAUGUAUAAUUUUAGAAAA